GAGUCGAGUUGUUUGGGAAUGCAGCUCUAAAUGGGAGGUAAAUUUCUUCUAAAGCUAAAUAUUGGCGAGAGACCGAUAGCGCACAAGUAGAGUGAUCGAAAGAUGAAAAGCACUUUGGAAAGAGAGUUAAAAAGCACGUGAAAUUGUUGAAAGGGAAGCGCUUGCAAUCAGACUUGUUUAAACUGUUCGGCCGGUCUUCUGACCGGUUUACUCAGUUUGGACAGGCCAGCAUCAGUUUCGGCGGCCGGAUAAAGGCUCUGGGAAUGUGGCCUCCACUUCGGUGGAGGUGUUAUAGCCCAGGGUGUAAUACGGCCAGCCGGGACUGAGGUCCGCGCUUCGGCUAGGAUGCUGGCGUAAUGGUUGUAAGCGAC
rnacentral:rRNA from 1 species